UUCCUAGUGCUAUGCAACCUUUCUGAACAUGCUGACACUGAAGAGAGUCAGAUACUUGCUUUUUUUCCAAUCACAACCAGUCUCAUUGUUCAGAAGAUGAGGGAGGAGCAUAAGGCCUUACCCUAAGGGAGGAGCAUGAGGCCUUACCCUAAUGCUGCUACUUAACAGUAUUUCAUCUUCCCUCUAUUUAUAUAAAUUAUUUUUUCCCCUUGACAAUACUCACAAAGUAAAAAUCCGAGUAUGCAUGUGGAUUUUAAGGCACUCUGAAAACCAGAAACUUUGCUAUCAGGACACAUUUCUAAGGAGAGGCCCUGCAGAAGAAUGCAGUUAGAGAGCAACUAAGGUGCACAACAUACACUCUAAAAUAUGCAAACAAAAGGAAUCAAACUUCCAGUAAAUGGGUUUUCCUUGGGUUCAAUGGCCACAACAUGUCACUUUGAGCCACCCACCUACUCUGAUGGCAGGCUGCCUGCAAACACUCUGGUUUACACAUGUGCAAGCAACUCUCUCUGGCUCAUCAUCUCUGCUGACGCCAAACUGCGGAUCCCAGGAUUUACCCAGACUAAUUUUUUAAAUAUUGCUUCCCAAAGGGCCAUGGGUGCUGGACACUAGCAGAAAUCAAUCCCAAACCAGUGACAUUAGUUUGAAGAGAAUCAGAGCCACAAUAAGCCCCAGGCAUACACAAAAAUCUGUUAUAAGAACAGCCUCAACAUUUGGACCACUAAUCCUACUCUGGACAUCAUGAAGCACAAGUUUUCAAGAAAAACCCAGCAAGCCUGUGAGGACUUUGACAAGAAUGGAUAAGCAGUAUCCUAGUCUCAUGCUUAACCACAGCACUGCUACUGUCCUACUAUAAUCCAGACUAACAUGGCUCCUACUCUGAAACCUGUCACAAGAAUAAGAGAUUUAAGAAAUGGAAAGACUUACUACCUGUCUAACUAUCUGUAACUAAACUAUUUGAAGAAAGAUGGGAUGAAGUGAUUAAAAAGAAACUGAUAACAGCAUGUACACAUACAGCUGUCUGUAGUGUCUCAACUCUACUAUACCUUGUAUAGCUGAUAAGCAUGGAAGAGAUCACUAGACUGACCUCUGGAAGCAAGUGCCAUGUUUCCCAAUCUGAAAAAUUUCCCUCUUUUCCAUGUUGUAAG